GAGUUUGAUCAUGGCUCAGGAUGAACGCUGGCGGCGUGCUUAACACAUGCAAGUCGAGCGAAGCGCUUUACUUUGAUUUCUUCGGAUUGAAAAGUGUUGCGACUGAGCGGCGGACGGGUGAGUAACGCGUGGGCAACCUGCCUCAUACAGGGGGAUAACAGUUAGAAAUGACUGCUAAUACCGCAUAAGACCACAGUACCGCAUGGUAUAGUGGUAAAAACUCCGGUGGUAUGAGAUGGGCCCCGCGUCUGAUUAGGUAGUUGGUGGGUAACGGCCUACCAAGCCGACGAUCAGUAGCCGACCUGAGAGGGUGACCGGCCACAUUGGGACUGAGACACGGCCCAAACUCCUACGGGAGGCAGCAGUAGGGAAUCUUCACAAUGGGCGCAAGCCUGAUGGAGCAACACCGCGUGAGUGAAGAAGGGUUUUCGGCUCGUAAAGCUCUGUUGUUGGAGAAGAACGUGCGUGAGAGUAACUGUUCACGCAGUGACGGUAUCCAACCAGAAAAGUCACGGCUAAC
rnacentral:rRNA from 1 species